ensembl:lncRNA
GAGAGGUUAGCAUGUUUUGUUGUAGUCUCUGUUAUUGGUAAUGGUGAGAGGUUAGCAUGUUUUGUUGUAGUCUCUGUUAUUGGUAAUGGUGAGAGGUUAGCAUGUUUUGUUGUAGCCUCUGUUAUUGGUAAUGGUGAGAGGUUAACAUGUUUUGUUGUAGUCUCUGUUACUGGUAAUGGUGAGAGGUUAGCAUGUUUUGUUGUAGUCUCUGUUAUUGGUAAUGGUGAGAGGUUAGCAUGUUUUGUUGUAGCCUCUGUUAUUGGUAAUGGUGAGAGGUUAGCAUGUUUUGUUGUAGUCUCUGUUAUUGGUAAUGGUGAGAGGUUAACAUGUUUUGUUGUAGUCUCUGUUACUGGUAAUGGUGAGAGGUUAGCAUGUUUUGUUGUAGUCUCUGUUAUUGGUAAUGGUGAGAGGUUAGUAUGUUUUGUUGUAGUCUCUGUUAUUGGUAAUGGUGAGAGGUUAGUAUGUUUUGUUGUAGUCUCUGUUAUUGGUAAUGGUGAGAGGUUAGCAUGUUUUGUUGUAUCCUCUGUUAUUGGUAAUGGUGAGAGGUUAGCAUGUUUUGUUGUAGUCUCUGUUAUUGGUAAUGGUGAGAGGUUAGCAUGUUUUGUUGUAGACUCUGUUAUUUAUUAUCUAGAUCUUUUUUAAUCAUGGCAUCCUCAAAUCAAAUCAAAUCAAAUUUUAUUUGUCACACACAUGGUUAGCAGAUGUUAAUGCGAGUGUAGCGAAAUGCUUGUGCUUCUAGUUCCGACAAUGCAGUAAUAACGAGCAAGUAAUCUAACUAACAAUUCCAAAAAAAAACUACUGUCUUAUACACAGUGUAAGGGGAUAAAGAAUAUGUACAUAAGGAUAUAUGAAUGAGUGAUGGUACAGAGCAGCAUAGGCAAGAUACAGUAGAUGAUAUCGAGUACAGUAUAUACAUAUGAGAUAAGUAUGUAAACCAAGUGGCAUAGUUAAAGUGGCUAGUGAUACAUGUAUUUCAUAAGGAUGCAGUCGAUGAUAUAGAGUACAGUAUCAACGUAUGCAUAUGAGAUGAACAAUGUAGGGUAAGUAACAUUAUAUAAGGUAGCAUUGUUUAAAGUGGCUAGUGAUAUAUUUACAUAAUUUCCCAUCAAUUCCCAUGAUUAAAGUGCUGGAGUAGAGUCAGUGUCAUUGACAGUGUGUUGGCAGUAGCCACUCAAUGUUAGUGGUGGCUGUUUAACAGUCUGAUGGCCUUGAGAUAGAAGCUGUUUUUCAGUCUCUCGGUCCCAG